GGUAAGAUGGCCGAGUGGUUAAGGCGAGUGACUUAAGUUCACUUGACGAAAGUCGCGUGGGUUCGAACCCCACUCUUACCA